AUGCUCCGGCUAGCCGCGCCGCCGGCCAGUCGCCUCCCCCGCCGGCAUCUUCCACCGCCGUGCGUGCCAGGACGGGGCGGCGUCCGCGCUGGGAGGCGCGGGAGUAGGAGGGCUGGGGCUGUGUCGACGAGUGGGGGUGUGAGCUAUGCGGUGGUUGAGGAUGAGGAGGUGGAGGAGGGGGAGGAGAUGGCGAGGCCGCGGCUGGAGCUCAUCGAGAAGCCGGACCGGAGCCUGGCGCUGCUGGACGAGUACGAGUCGGAGGAGCUGGGGGCGGCGCUCUGCGCCAACCACCGCAGCGGUUAUGUUGCUGUGUUGGGGAAGCCGAAUGUCGGCAAGAGCACCCUGAUAAACCAAAUCGUCGGUCAGAAGCUUUCGAUCGUAACGGAUAAGCCACAAACCACACGUCACCGCAUUCUUGGUAUAUGUUCGGAACCAGAAUACCAGAUAAUACUUUAUGACACGCCAGGCAUCAUCAAGAAGGAAAUGCACAAGCUAGACUCGAUGAUGAUGAAGAAUGUCCAGAGCGCUAUCGGUAACGCGGACUGUGUGAUUGUCGUCGCUGAUGCUUCCAAAUUGCCCGAAAAGAUAGAUGAUAUGCUGGAAGCGGGCGUGGGAAACAAAGAUACCAAGGUCCCUGUUGUGUUGGUACUCAACAAGAAAGAUAUGAUAAAACCCGGAGAAAUCGCAAAGAAACUUGAGUGGUACCAAAAAUUCACUGAUGUUGACGAUGUUAUACCUAUAAGUGCUAAAUUUGGUCAUGGAGUGGUUGAUAUCAAGGAGUGGAUAUUGUCAAAGCUUCCACUGGGUCCUGCUUACUACCCCAAGGACAUAGCUAGUGAACACCCCGAGAGAUUUUUUGUGGGGGAGAUAGUGAGGGAAAAGAUUUUUCUUCAAUAUAGGCAGGAAAUUCCAUACGCAUGCCAGGUUAAUGUUACAAGUUACAAAAGCAGGCCUAGUGCCAAGGAUUUUAUUCAAGUUGAGAUACUUGUUGAGAGGGAAUCACAAAGAAGCAUUAUACUUGGGAAGGAUGGGAAAGCUAUAAAGACGUUGGCAACAGCAUCCAGGCUUGACAUCGAAGAUUUCCUUCAAAAGAAGGUUUAUCUUGAGAUAGAUGUGAAGGUGAAGGAAAACUGGCGGCAAGAUGAACGGCUUUUGAAACGUUACGGCUACGGUGGGGAGAUUCAAGCGCUAUAA
rnacentral:rRNA from 1 species